rnacentral:rRNA from 1 species
UACAGAGGGUGCGAGCGUUGUCCGGAAUCACUGGGCGUAAAGGGCGCGUAGGCGGCCUGAUAAGUAGGGGGUGAAAUCCUGUGGCUUAACUGCAGGGCUGCCUCCUAGACUGUUAGGCUCGAGCACGGUAGAGGCAGAUGGAAUUCCCGGUGUAGCGGUGGAAUGCGUAGAGAUCGGGAAGAACAUCGGUGGCGAAGGCGGUCUGCUGGGCCGUUGCUGACGCUGAGGCGCGACA